rnacentral:rRNA from 1 species
UAGGGAACCUUCGGCAAUGGGAGCAACCCUGACCGAGCAACGCCGCGUGAGUGAAGAAGGUUUUCGGAUCGUAAAGCUCUGUUGUAAGUCAAGAACGAGUGUGAGAGUGGAAAGUUCACACUGUGACGGUAGCUUACCAGAAAGGGACGGCUAACUACGUGCCAGCAGCCGCGGUAAUACGUAGGUCCCGAGCGUUGUCCGGAUUUAUUGGGCGUAAAGCGAGCGCAGGCGGUUUGAUAAGUCUGAAGUUAAAGGCUGUGGCUCAACCAUAGUUCGCUUUGGAAACUGUCAAACUUGAGUGCAGAAGGGGAGAGUGGAAUUCCAUGUGUAGCGGUGAAAUGCGUAGAUAUAUGGAGGAACACCGGUGGCGAAAGCGGCUCUCUGGUCUGUAACUGACGCUGAGGCUCGAAAGCGUGGGGAGCGAACAGGAUUAGAUACCCUGGUAGUCCACGCCGUAAACGAUGAGUGCUAGGUGUUGGAUCCUUUCCGGGAUUCAGUGCCGCAGCUAACGCAUUAAGCACUCCGCCUGGGGAGUACGACCGCAAGGUUG